CCGGGAAUCACCCUGGGUCCCGCUCCGCCCCGCCGCCGGGGGAGGAGGAGAAGGGGGGAAGGGGGGGGCAGACGGCAGUUCUCUUCCGCUAUAAAGGGCCCUGGGCCGCCGAAGCUCGCCUCAGCGUCCUCCGGCUCCGCCUUCGCCGCCUUCCUCCCAGCUGGAGCUCCAGUUCCCGCUCAGGUUCCAAUCGACCCUCUCGGGCUCGGCUACUCGGGCUGCACCAGAAGAUGGCGGCUUCCGACGCUCGGGCCGACUGCUCCGAAGCGGCGCUGGCUGCAGCCCUGGCGGACGUGCCGGAACUAGCUCGACUGCUGGAGAUCGACCCGUACCUGAAACCCUUCGCCCUGGAUUUCCAGCGCAGGUAUAAGCGGUUUAAGGAGACUUUGAACAACAUCGAAGAGAACGAAGGUGGUAUUGAUAAAUUUUCCAGAGGUUAUGAAUCAUUUGGUGUCCACACAUGUGCCGAUGGUGGUUUAUACUGCAAAGAAUGGGCCCCAGGAGCAGAAGGAGUUUUUCUUACUGGAGACUUCAAUGAUUGGAAUCCAUUUUCGUACCCAUAUAAAAAACUGGAUUAUGGAAAGUGGGAGCUUUAUAUCCCACCAAAGAGGAAUAAAUCUCUACUUGUACCUCAUGGAUCCAAAUUAAAGGUAGUUAUUAGGAGUAAAAGUGGAGAGAUCUUGUAUCGUAUUUCACCAUGGGCGAAGUAUGUGACUCGUGAAGGUGAUAAUGUGAAUUAUGAUUGGAUACACUGGGAUCCAGAACACCCAUAUAAAUUUAAGCAUUCCAAACCAAAGAAGCCAAGAGGUCUAAGAAUUUAUGAAUCUCAUGUGGGAAUUUCUUCCUAUGAAGGAAAAAUAGCUUCUUAUAAACAUUUUACAUGCAAUGUACUACCAAGAAUCAAAGACCUUGGAUACAACUGCAUUCAGAUGAUGGCAAUAAUGGAGCAUGCUUACUAUGCCAGUUUUGGUUACCAGAUCACAAGCUUCUUUGCAGCUUCAAGCCGUUAUGGAACGCCUGAAGAGCUAAAAGAACUGGUUGACACGGCUCACUCAAUGGGUAUCACCGUCCUCUUAGAUGUGGUACACAGCCAUGCUUCAAAAAAUUCAGAAGAUGGAUUGAACAUGUUUGAUGGGACUGAUUCCUGUUAUUUUCAUUCUGGACCUAGAGGGAAUCAUGAUCUUUGGGACAGUCGAUUGUUUGCCUACUCCAGCUGGGAAGUUUUAAGAUUCCUUCUGUCAAACAUAAGAUGGUGGUUAGAAGAAUAUGGCUUUGAUGGAUUUCGUUUUGAUGGUGUUACAUCCAUGCUCUAUCAUCACCAUGGAAUGGGUCAAGGUUUUUCGGGUGAUUACCAUGAAUAUUUUGGACUUCAAGUAGAUGAAGAUGCCUUGAUUUAUCUCAUGUUGGCAAAUCAUUUGAUUCACACGUUGUAUCCAGAUUCUGUAACAGUAGCUGAGGAUGUAUCAGGAAUGCCAGCUGUCUGUUCUCCGAUUUCCCAGGGAGGGGUUGGCUUUGACUAUCGAUUAGCCAUGGCAAUUCCAGAUAAAUGGAUUCAGCUACUUAAAGAGUUUAAAGAUGAAGACUGGAAUAUGGGCAAUAUUGUGUACACACUCACAAACAGACGCUACCUUGAAAAGUGCAUUGCUUAUGCCGAGAGCCAUGAUCAGGCACUCGUUGGGGACAAGACACUGGCAUUUUGGUUGAUGGAUGCUGAAAUGUAUACCAACAUGAGUGUUCUGACCCCAUUUACUCCAGUUAUUGAUCGUGGAAUACAGCUUCAUAAAAUGAUUCGACUCAUUACUCAUGCUCUUGGUGGAGAAGGCUAUCUCAAUUUUAUGGGUAAUGAAUUUGGGCAUCCUGAAUGGUUAGACUUUCCAAGAAAAGGAAAUAAUGAGAGUUAUCAUUAUGCCAGAAGGCAGUUUCAUUUAACUGAUGAUGACCUCCUUCGCUAUAAGUUCCUAAAUAACUUUGACAGGGAUAUGAAUAAAUUGGAAGAAAGAUGUGGUUGGCUUUCAGCUCCACAGGCCUAUGUGAGUGAAAAGCAUGAAGCCAAUAAGAUCAUUGCUUUUGAGAGAGCAGGUCUUCUUUUUAUUUUCAACUUUCAUCCAAGCAAGAGCUACACUGAUUACCGAGUUGGAACAACGCUGCCAGGAAAAUAUCCUUUUUGUUGCUGGUGAAUAUAUUUGCUGAGCACCUACCCAUUGAACACCAGUGUACCAGCCCUGUGCGAGGUGCUGGAGAGACAGGAAUUCUCCUGGCAGAUGUAGUCACUGCCCUCGUGGAGCUUUUAAACUAGUGAAGAAGAAAAACAUUAGUAAUUAAUUCAGUCGCACAUUCCCAAAGAAAUGUCUAGGAAGGAGAAGCGUAUUGCCAAGACGGGCUGAAUCAGGGGAAUUACCCUGGAGUUUCCAGGAAGUGGGAAGUGGACUCAGGAAGUGGACUUCGGGGGGAAGUGGUUACUCAGACAGACCGUUUCUCCACCAGUGAAGAAGAAAGGGCCAGUGCUGUCUAGUUAAGUAGCCUGCGGCACCUGCCGCUCCCCUGCGCUAUCAGUGAGUGUGGUGAGAGAUGGUCCCCUACCCUUUGCCUGCCCAGCAGAGCACAGUUCCACCUGCCAUCAGAGCAUUUAGGAGACAUGGCUGUCACUGUGACUAACAGCCCCAGGGUGCCCCAGUUGACACAGAGAAUGCUCCGUCAGUGUGAUGGGAUUGCCUGCACCAAAGAUGCACUUGUUCCAGGAAGCAAAUGUACUCACCAUUUUUAUAAAGAAAUGCAAAUAAAUGCUAGACAUGUACCAUCUCAUACGUGACCCCUCUCGGCUGCAAACUGCUGAAGUAAUGCCCCUAGACUCACUUCCCGUAUACCUGAAAAUGUCAUAUAGUCAAUAUGCAAUCAAAAUAUAAUUUUUUUAAAGAUUUUAUUUAUUAUUUAUUUGAGAGAGAGAGAGAGAGAGAGCACAUGAGAGGGGGGAGGGUCAGAGGGAGAAGCAGACUCCCUGCCGAGCAGGGAGCCCGAUGUGGGACUUGAUCCCGGGACUCCAGGAUCAUGACCUGAGCCGAAGGCAGUCGCUCAACCAACUGAGCCAGCCAGGUGCCCCAAAAUAUAAUUUUUUUAUAAUCAAACCAAAAUACAUUUACAGUACACUUGGGAGCUACUUCAGUCUUUGUUAAGCACUAUCCUUGACCCUAAGUCAGUAGGAGAGAAGAGAUGUAUAAAACCAAACUAGGAUGUAAGUCAUAAUGCAGUAAAUGGGAAGGGAGCAGGAAUGUUCUACGGGAGAACAGGAGAUAAGUAAAAGAAAAAAAAUAAAGUGAGAGAAAGAGAGAAAGAAAUUGAUUGAUGGAGUGAUUGAUUUAAGGAAAAGACCUUUAAGCCUGGACCUUGAGAAAUGGAUAAAAUUGUAGUAGAAAAAAUUGAGAAGGGCCAUCUUAGCUGUUGGAGAACAUAGAACGUUCUUAGAUAAUGAACAGCACAAUGUAUUAAUUGGAGAAUGAUGACCCUAAAAAGGAAUAAAAGAUAAAGCUGAAAAGAUAGAUUGAGAUCACAUAAUAGAAAAUUUCAAUGCUAUAUUAAUUAGUUUAGACUUUUUUCCAUAGUUCUAUAUUGAAUCACUGAAGGUUUCUGAGUUAGGGAGCUACCUGAUAAGAAUGUAUGCUUUAGGAAAAGUUCUCACGGACCCAGUGUGUAGGAGAGCUUUCUUGAGGAAAGAGAUGGGAAGUACAGAUAUUAAGUAUGAGAAAUUAUAGUACAUGUAAAAGAUAAUUAAGGCAUGAGCUAAAGGAAUGACAAUAGGAUAGAAAGAGGUUUAUGAGCAUUUUCUUAGAGUGAAAGAACUCAGCAAUUGUUUGGACUUGGGAUGGAGAAGAGAAAAUACAAGGUUUCACUUUAAACAAGGGGAAGAAUGGUAGUGGUGUUAUUACUUAGGAUACCAAAGCAAGAAAGCAAGGAGGAAUAACCAGUUAGGGGAAUAGAAAAUAUAAGUUUAGGGGCACCGGCUGGCUCACUUGCUAGAGCAUGUGACUCUUUUUUUUUUUUUUAAAGAUUUUAUUUAUUUAUUUGACAGAGAGAGACACAGCAAGAGAGGGAACACAAGCAGGGGGAGUGGUAGAGGGAGAAGCAGGCUUCCCGCCGAGCAGGGAGCCCGACGUGGGACUCCAUCCCAGGACCCUGGGAUCAUGACUGAGCCGAAGGCAGACGCUUAACGACUGAGCCACCCAGGCGCCCAGCAUGUGACUCUUGAUCUCAGGUUGUGAGUUCAAGCCCCAUGUUGGGUGUAGAACUUACUUAAAAAAAAAAGUGUAUGUAUAUAUAUAUAUAUAUAUAUAUAUAUAUACACAUACACACACACAUAUAUAUAAAGAAAAAAUGUGGGCGCCUGGGUGGCUCAGAUGGUUAAGCGUCUGCCUUCGGCUCAGGUCAUGAUCCCAGGAUCCUGGGAUCGAGUCCCACAUCGGGCUCCCUGCUCCUUGGGAGCCUGCUUCUCCCUCUGCCUCUCUCUCUCUCUCUGUCUCUCAUGAAUAAAUAAAUAAAAUCUUUAAAAAAAAAAAAAAGAAAAAGAAAAAAUGUUUAAUUUAGGAUUUUGAUAAAUGUAAACACAUAGAAUAUCAAUGGUGAUGUUUAGAAGAAAAAUCUUGACUCAAGCUACAUUGAUCUCCUGUGUAACUAUGUAAUCUAUGUAAUUUUAACAAAUAUUAUUAAGUGAAAACAUAAAUAAUAGCAUAUUUUAUGAAGUAGAAUCUACCCAAAAGUUAAUUUUAUUUAAUGAUACAAUAUUACACUGUACAUAAAAGUCUAUAUUUUGUGUUUUGUUUUGUUUUUCUGAAGUGAUCUCUACACUAAACACGGGGCUUGAACCCAUGACCCUGAGAUCAAGAGUCAAAUGCUCUACCAACUGAGCCAGCCAGGCACCUUUCUAGUUUGGUUUUGAUAAAACCUUGAUACAAAUGGAGUCUUCUGAAAUUUGGUGAUUUAUCUAGAUGUCUAUAGGCAUCCGUUAUACAGAAAUUCUCUAUAUUAAACACUAAAUGUUUUACGUUAGUGACCCCUUUCAGAAACUGUACUCAUUAAAAGCUCUAAUUAUGUAGACACCUGGGAAAAUUGGGCCAUAUCUUCAUAUAAGUAAAACUUGAACCCUUGAUCAUCUAUUGCAUCUCUAGGAAAACCUUGAAAAUAUUCUUGGUUCUUUUCUUAGAGGGAUUUUGUUUUCUACAGAUUUGUGCCCACUUAGACCUUAUUUACUCUUGCCACCUUUCUCAUUCUUGAAUUUCUGUCAACAAGCUGUAACUAAUUCCCAUACGUUACCGCUUCCUCUGAGGACAUUUACAUUUUAAUAAUGGUCUCUUUGAAAACUCCAGAAAUAUGCAAGACCUUAUGGACUGGUUAUCUCAUGUAAUAAUUGUUUUAUAACAAAGAUUUUUUUUUUUUGAGGGGAGGGGAGCAGGAGAGAAUCUCCAACAUACCUUAAACCACACCUAAUUAGCUUUAAGUUCAUAACACCAGCUUUAACUCUUACAUUGAUCUUAAAACCUUCUGGAUUUCGUGAUGUUCUAUACUCCAGUGACCCAGUUCAGUGCAGAAAUAACAUUUGUAAGUUCCUCCACACAUCACAGCUAACCAUCAAUAGAGCACAUUCCAGUCCUAGGAAUCUCACUAUUUCACAAGGUAAGCAAUUCUAGGGUUUUGUUUUUUUUUAAAUAUUGCCUUAAACGUAUGAAAAUAAAUGCAUUAAUUCUGUACUCUGGCUCCAGCGCCUGUUCUACAAGCUGCCACUCAGAUCAGAAGGGCAUUUAACAUGCUCCUCACAGUACUUACCGCUCCCUAGUCUUCCCUCUUCCAGACCAGAUGCCUCUGUUUUCUUCAGUAGAUUCUCAUGAUACUUUCCAGACCUCUUACCAUCGCAUCUCCCUCAUCAAAAUACACUCGGCAUGGUGCCCAUCCCUCUUACAUCAUGUCUCCAGAAUUAACAGCAUAAUAUUUCAGAUAGAGUCUGGCAAGUAUGACUUAGAGUACCCCAUUACCUCCCUUUAUCUUGAUACUGCUCUCUUAUUAAUAUAGUCAAAGGGAAACUAGCUUUCCUGGCAGCCAUCACGUUUUUUACUCAUAUUUGCAACCAAAUAAAAAUCUCUAGUUUUUCUUGAUGUGUACUAACUAGUAUGAUAUCAUAGCUCCCUUAUUCUUUUUUAUGAUUUUAUUUAUUUGUGAGAGAGAGAGAGCAAGCACAAGCAGGAGGAGUGGCAGGCAGAGGGAGAAGCAGGCUUCCCACUGAGCAGGGAGCCCGACGCGGGGCUUGAUCCCAGGACCCUGGGACCAUGACCUGAGCUGAAGGCAGACGCUUAACCGACUGAACCACCCAGGCACCCUAUUCAGCUAAUAACUUUAACCUAAAAUCCCAAAUUUAACAUUGAACAUGAAAAUAUAUAUAUUGGUUUUUUGCCUCUAACCUGUUAAUGGGGGAGACAACAGUUCUCUGUCAUUAUGAUGAUUGUACUAUCUUCCAUAAGCAGCAGAUACAUCUAUGCUUUCUUUCAGCUCUUAUUGUUCCAAGCUUAGCUUUAAGAGUUCUUUUUAUUAUCCUUAGCAUUUUACAAGUCUCAUUUCUUUUUGGUCUUUCAUCUUUCUGACUUUAUUCUUAUACCUUUACACGACAUUGUAGCUCAGCAUUAUAGAAUCAUUUCAGAUAGGGAAAGUACAAAAAAUUAGGAUUUCUAUGCUGUAUUUUCUGACUUUGCCAAAGUGUUCUGUGCCAUUGGUAUUUCCAACUACUGAGCCAGUGAUUUGAAUACAGAUUUUCACUGUGAAGAAUCCACAGUGGCAAGAUUGGUUAUAUUAAUCAAGUCAAGAAAUUCAUCAAAUUUUUAAUUCCCUGGAAAGCAGGAUUUGGUGCCAGAACAAAUUGAAAGUUUCUAAAGAAGUCAUUUGAACUUCUUCUUUCACUAUGAAAUAUAAACCUGCGAACAGGUAACAUGUCUGAAUUCUUGAGCAGUUCCAUUUUUUGAACCCAUAUAUCCAGUAUAUCACAUAGCAAGACAUCAACUUUCACUCAAAUCUGUGGAGGAUAGGUGAUGACUGUCUUCCCAAGAAACUGUUGUAAGGUGAACUAUUUUGGGGAUAAUGCCAGGCAAAGCAGAAGAAACACUUAAAGGAUGUCUUUAAUUAUCACUUCAAAAUGAGAUGAUACAUUUUGGAAAGCUAAAAGAGAAAUCGGAUUUGUAUCACUAAGGUUUUGGAAUGUGGUCUUAAAGGUGACAGCUAAAAGACAUAGUAUUGUUUCUGCAACAAGAAUCUAUAGCCGUAUUCUAGAAAAUUAAAAAAAAACACACACACAAAAACCCUUUGCUUAUAUACUAUCUUACAUUGGUCUUUUUAGCUGCUGAUCUUCAAUGUAAUAACCACCAACAUUCUUUAAUUAGUAAAUAGCAACGUGUGUGAUGCAGAACUCAGAUCUAAACAUAUAGACAAGUAGGCUGGUCAUACAUUUCAUACCUAGGAAGAUAAAACACACUCUCUUAAUGUGUUAUAUUUGCCUGUGAUUUCACAUUGUUUAGCUGUAGAGAAAGAAAGAAAAAAAAAACCAUAAUGCCCUUUAUAUUAUCAGAAUCAUCGCUGUCUUUCUUGCAUUACAUCUCUUCACUUAGAAUGAUACCAAAUCAGCAUUGAAUCAAAAGGAAAACUGCUAAGCCCCCAAGGACGAACCGUUCCUUCUAAUGCAUUUUGAAGAACAUAAAUGAUGAUACCACAUUUUGAGCGGUGCCAAGGGAAGUGGGUGUUAGGGGACCUCUUUUUGAGGCCCUUCUGUUUGCUGGCCAUUUUUAGUAAGUAUCUAGUUUCCUAUUCCCAGCGGCCCUAUAAGAUAGGUUGUGUUGGCCUCAUGGGACAGGUCAGUAAACCAAGGCCUCUAAGUCACUACCUAACUCCCCUCCAGCACCUAGCUGCAGAGGUUGAGCAGGGACUGCAAAGCUCGUGUUCUCUCUCCUGCGUCAGGGCACCCCUUCUCUGGCUGCCUGUGUGUGGUUGGUGGUAGCAACAGUAGUAUUGCCCAUGAUGACUCAUUUCUGUUACGCUCAGAAGAACUUCUGCAUAGUUUUGGGGGCAAUAGGUAGCCUGAGAAAAUGCACUGUACAUCCUGUAUAUCAGAUACACAAAUUCAUGGCACAGGAGAGCUUCUCUCUCUUCAGCUAACUCCCUUCACGCCUCAUUCGUAAGGCGUGUGUCUUAGUAUGUGCAGAUUCAUACUGUUCUGAGAGCGUAAACAACGCCAAAACCCAGUGUUUUUUCAGUUGUCACCAUGCUGAGAUGGGGGUGGAAAUAAAAGUCUAAUAGCAGCCCCCUUUCCAAAUGGCGUUUCAAACUGUUACAAUACUGAAAUGUUGAGAGUGAUCAUCAAGGAUGGCUUGUGAAAACUAUGUGAAUCCCAGCCAAAAAUAUUUAAAGCUAAGGGAACAGAUGAGUAAAUAGUUGAAUUUGACCUGAGAUCUUUGAAAUGUUUUCAUUAAACUGCCUCAAGAUAUACUUUUUAAAAUGUAAAUUCAGACUCUGACAUUUGCAACCUGUACACAGAGUUUCUAAUGAGCAAAUAAGGUCACUGGGAUGAUUCACUGGAGUGUGAUUGCUGAAGGCAGAGAUGUUGCUGUGAGUUGCUUAGUCUACAGAAGCCUUUGAAGCAUGGUUAUGUAACACUCUGUGUUUAUUAGAAUCUAUGCUUUAUGCAACAAAUAAAAGCAAAGGGCUUAAUUUAGGAUUAGCUAAAUGCCACAUUCCAUCAAGAAUUUAUAUAUAAAGGUUAAUUUCUGAACCAAGAAAAAUAGAGCAUCUCAACUUUCUAGUUUUCCAGGCUAUAUAUGUUUUGGUUAAAAAAAAAAAAAACACCUUAAAAAAAUACAAGGUUUUCUCAUAAAAGAUCUACAACAAUCACUUUGAACAGAUGCAAGCACGUUUUUUUUCCUUUGUGUGUGUGUGUGUAUGUGUGAGUGUGUUAUGUGGGCUUUUGCUCUAUGCUACAAUUUAAUGGUGCUAUUCUUUAUGUGAGCAGAGAUGAUCCUACUAAUAAUUUCAUAUUUAAUAUGGGUCCUACUUUUGUUUUUAUAGCUUCAAAAUGGAUGUGCAUUCAUUGCCAGGUUAGCCCUCUAAUUUCAAGAUGACAGUAAUACUUUUAAACAUUAUCUAGAGGUCUUUUUGAUCAUUUUUUAUUGUUAAAUAUUGUCCAAAAAUCCCUGUGAUUUAAUGAUAAUGACGAAUGCAUCUACCCACCCCCACUGGCAAUAAAGAGCCUAUGAUUUAGCAUCAUUUUUCUACCCAGGAAUUUAAGAUGAAUCACAAAGUAAGAAAAAUAUUUUGCAUGAUUAAAAUAUUGCAACUGCUUUAACAGUUUUAGAUUGGCUUAAUAUAUAUUCAUAAGACUAUAGGCAGUAAUGAAUAAUGAGCAGGCCCUUAAAACACAAAUGGUUUUAGGUGGGGUUUUUUUUUCCUCUCUCUCUUUUUUUUUUUUUUCCUUAAAUAUCUGAGUACUGUUUCAGGGUUCGUGUUCUGAGAUAUUCAACAGCAUUUCUGGGUUUUUUUUUUUUUUUUGCUUCAUAGCUCCGUUGUGUGGUAAUGGUCUCCUUGGUUCCAGAAGUUCAUCUAACAAUAGCUCAGUCAAGAUUUCUAUCCUCUAUUUCUUGUCCUUCAAUGGGAAAAAAGAAAUCAGAAAUAUUAUUGUAACCGUUAAAAACAAUACACACAUAUGUAACAAUUGUAUCGCUAAUGAGGAGAAAAACAUUUGUGCCAAGGUUGAUUAUUUUUACCAAUUUGUAAAAAAAGGUACUAGUAUGUGGAAAUUCUGAGGUAUGUGGUACUACAAUGUGGAAACUGAGGUACGUGUAAGACUAAGAGUCUUAUCCACACAUCAACAAUUAUAUCUUUAGUUAAAAUGUGUUAGGUAUUCACACAUAAAGCUAAAUUUCUGUUGGAUGGACGAUGAUGAAUAGAAGGAUGGGCAGUCAGAAGUGGAUGGAUGGUUGAGUGUUGGAUAGAUAAAAGGAUGAACAGACUGAUGGAUGAUGUGGAUAGAUGGAGGUUACAGCUACCUAAUGGCAAAAGAACCCCUGGGGUUGUUUAAAAUUAAAUAAAGUACAGGGCGCCUGGGUGGCUUAGUUGGUUAAGCGACUGCCUUCGGCUCAGGUCAUGAUCCUGGAGUCCCGGGAUCGAGUCCCGCAUCGGGCUCCCUGCUCGGCGGGGAGUCUGCUUCUCCCUCUGACCCUCCUCCCUCUCAUGCUCUCUGUCUCUCAUUCUCUCUGUCUCAAAUAAAUAAAUAAAAUCUUUAAAAAAUUUAAAAUAAAUAAAUAAAUAAAUAAAAUAGUCCUUUAUUUAAUCAGUCCAAAAACAGAUCAUUCUCUACUAAUUAAAAAAAUAAUUGUAUAAUUGUAUUCAUCACCUUUCUUUAUAUCUGAUGCCAGUGGUCUUUAAUUAGAGCAUUCUGUGUCUAAAAUAAAUUUCUAAUAUUGAAUGUUAAAUUACUUUUUCCUUCUGGAUCUCAGUAGAAAUUAGCCUUUUUCUUUUUUUUUUUUUUUCAGUAAAUAUCUCCUGCCUGCCAUAAAGCUGUUUAGAUCUUCUGUAAGUGAGGUAUUUUCAUUUUCAUCAUUUUCUGUUAAGCUCUUCUAACUCAGAAUCUCACAAAGCUCUUCUAACUCAGAAUCUCACAGGGUCAAACUGAGUAGUCAGUGUUUUAUUUAUAUGUGAAAAUAGUACCUGAAUACUCCAGAAGAUUCUUAAAAUGAAGGAAUGAUAUAAUUACUGGUUCACUGUAAGUAUUUAAGGGCUGCCAAGAAUAUCUUGGUGCUGCAACCAAAGGAAGAGUUUGUCUCUCCAGAGAAAAAUGAACACUGUUCUUGGAAACAGUGGCUUCAGUUAUAACCAUGUGUAAGAAUCAUUUCUAAUUCUAUUAAUGUAGUAUUUUUUGGCCUAAUGGUGGAAAAAUACCUAAUUAAUUCCUAUUAUGUCUGUGAAGUUUACUUGUGAAAUUAAUUGAUUCUUUUUGGUUGUUAUAUGGCAUUAAUUGAAUUAGGAAAGUAUUCUUUAGAUAUCAUUGAGAAAAAUUAUUUAAUGUAUAACUUAAUGAAAUGCAAUCAUGUUAGCUUUUACUGGCACACAGUAAGUGUUUCAUUAUGGGAACAUUAAAACAAAAUUAUUUUGUCUGUAGAAUUAUAAACGUUACUGUAAUUUUUUUCUCCAUCCAUUUAUAUUUAGAGAUAGUCCAUUGUUUUCACUUUACUACCUUCCCUUUCAACACUCUUCCUUUCUUUCCAGCUAAGGAAAACAAGAAAAAUAAGUUUCUCUGAUGGUAGCAUUCUUUUCGGAUUCUGAAACAUUGUUUUUUUCAGUUUGUUGUCUUACUCUAACAUUUUUGUGUCCCAGAGACUCACUAGUUCUAAGUAUUUCCAGUUCUUAUAUGUGUAAAUGUAGAGAAAUUUGUUCUUACUAUUGGGAUAGUGGCUAAAAGCAUGAGCUCUUCGGUGGAGUAAGUAAGACUGUCUAAGGGUUCAAGUUCUGUCUCUCCCACUUACCAGCGUUAUAAAAGUAACCUCACUGUUUCUUAGUUUCCUCAUCUUUAAAACACCUACUUGUAGAAUUAUUGUCAGAAUUAAAUGAGUUAAUGCAUAUGAAAGGCUUAGCAACAGUGUCCUGCUCAGGCUGUAAGCUCAGGCAGUUCACCUGCUCUGCUCAUCAUUACUGGCUCUAAAAAUGCCUUAAGAGGGGCGCCUGGGUGGCUCAGUCCUUAAGCAUCUGCCUUCAGCUCAGGUCAUGAUCCCAGGGUCCUGGGAUCGGGCCCUGCAUCAGGCUCCCUACUCGGUGGGGAGCCUGAUUUUCCCUCUCCCACUCCCCCUGCUUGUGUUCCCUCUCUAGCUGUGUCUCUCUCUGUCAAAUAAAUAAAAUCUUCAAAAAUCAAUCAAUCAAUCAAUAAAAUAAAAAUGCCUUAGAAAUUUGGUAAUAAAAGGAAGGAAAGGAAAGGAUGAGAGGAGUAUGUAUUAAUGCUCUCUAUUACCUACAUGCUCUGGUCCUACUUUUUUCAUUUCCUAUUCCCCAGUUCACCACCACAAGGUGAUUUCUGUCCUGUCACAGUCUUGGAAUUAAGUCUUCUGCUUCUGGCUAAUUCCUUUCUACACUUCUGCAUUAUUGGCUCACCUUUCUUCCUUACCCCCUUGCAGCACUAUCGUGAGUUCCCUUUCCUCUGUACCCACUUUGUCCCAUCUUUUUCCCUCAGGUCCAAAUCCAGUUAUUUUUUUUGUUUCCUUCCUUGCACUCUUCCCUUGAAGAACUCACAUAUGCUCCUGGCUUCAACCCUGUGUAGACGGCCCCUAAUCACCCCUCCUACGUCGAUGUGUGCCUUAUUCACCAACUAUAAUUUUGUGAUAUUUAAUGACCAUUAGGAAAUACCCAGCACAUGGAAUCAUGAAUUUUUGAGAGGUAUCAGAACUCUAGCAUGACCUGGUUCAGCCCAUUGAAAUUAGAUAAAAUUGGUUGGUUUAGAAGAUAUAUUUUAGGGGCACCUGGGUGGCUCAGUUGGUUAAGCGACUGCCUUCGGCUCAGGUCAUGAUCCUGGAGUCCCGGGAUCGAGUCCCGCAUCGGGCUCCCUGCUCGGCAGGGAGUCUGCUUCUCCCUCUGACCCUCCUCCCUCUCAUGCUCUCUGUCUCUCAUUCUCUCUGUCUCAAAUAAAUAAAUAAAAUCUUUAAAAAAAAAAAAGAAGAUAUAUUUUAGGACAUGGUUUUCAAAUUAGUACCAAACAUCAAAGUACCAAACCAUAACACUUCACAGUGUGUGAAUGCUUUUAUUUACAUUGACUCUCCUUAUCAUCACAUCAUUUUAGUGAUAUGGAUCAGGCAAGUAUUCUUAUCCUCAACCUAAAUAUGAACACUAGAAAGAUUUAUAACUUUCACAAGAUCAGAUUCCUAGUAAGGGAAUAAAUGUGAUUUAAAUCUACUUCCCCUAAUUUCAGCAUUGUUUUUCAUGUGAGCACCAGAUAAUUCACUUUUUUGUUGCCCUGUUGAAAUGCCAUUAAAGUAGGUAAAGCAUGUCUCACUAAUUAUAAUUUUAUGUUUCCUUUGCAUUUCUUUGUAAGAGUUAAUGAUGCCUCUGGCUAAAUGUCAUUUCUCUGCAGUGUUAUACUGUCCUCAUUUCUAACACACUUAUAAGCACAGAUCAGUUUAAAUGGGAUAUUUAUAAAAUAUACUCAUUUUAAAAAUAAACAUUUUAGGGGCGCUUGGGUGGCUCAGUUAAGCAUCCGAUUCUUGAUUUCAGCUCAACUCAUGAUCUCAGAGUCAUGAGAUGGAGCAUUGGGCUCCCCGCUGGGCAUAGUGCCUGCUUAAAAUUCUUUCUCUCCCUCUCCCUCUCCCCCUCCGCCCCUCACUCUCAUGCUGUCUCUCUCUCUCUCAUAUACAAGUAAGGAAACAAACAGACUUUUUAAGGAUAAAGUAACUUUUUAAGGAAAAAGAUGAUACUCAAAUUUUUUAUUAAACCAGGAUAUAAACCUAAGUAUAUUUCAGCUUCAAGUGCUGGCUGGGAAAGUGUGGAUCCUGAAGGAUAUUAGAGGAUAAAAGGGUUUGGAGACUAACAGCCCAUAAAACAGGGGAAAGAACAAUUUACAAAGAGGUGAAAGAUAAGAGUUCUGCUUUCAUCAGCUUUCUUGAUAAGCUGUUGCUCAUAUUCUUUCUUGAGCAGUGGAAGUUAUGACCUGUAUGCUGGUUCCAUAUUACUGGCAUAGACUUACAGCAUGGGAGGUCUAAUUUGUUUUAGCCACACACGAUAGAUACAGUCUUGGACAGAUUUAAUCGGGAGAUGAGCCUCCAUGUAGAUCUAUAUUAGAGGCAUAUAACUGUAUAUAUUUCCUUUUCUCACCUUAAUUUUCAAUGUAGGAAAUUCAUCCCUGGUGACAUUUUGUCUGCUGGCUGCCUCAGACAAUUUACCUAAAGAAUACAUGGAAUCCUAUCACUGUACUUGAUUAACUCUCUCAUGACCAUAAUAGUCUCAUCACUUCGGAAUUUUAAUAAUAAUUGGAUGGUCUAAAUAAAACUCACAUUUGUGAAAUAACUAUAAAAUAAAUAAUUAAAUCUACAUAAAAUCUGGUUCAAAACCUGCCAGAAAUUUUACUCAUUUGGAUUAUAUAAGUCAUUUCCAUGUCUAACUAUCAUGACCAAAACGUUUGUUGAUUUCGUUUUGAAUGGUACAAACAUGUACUUUGCAGAAAUAACUUAGCCACUUUACUCUUUGCUUGUAUUAUUUCCUCUGUCUACCCAGUAAGGUUAAACCAAUAUGAUUGUUUUAAAGAUGAUUGCAAACUACUAUAUUAGAUUUAUUAUGCCCCUGGAAAAUAUAUUUAUUAGCAGUCACUUGUGUGUUUAAAGCUCUCGCACUCAAAAAAAAAAAAAAAAAAAAAAGCUCUCGCACUCAUUUUUUUAGUGCCUAUGGGGAAAUGUUUACUUUGAAUCUUUUCCCUCACAAUCAUUAAUCUGGGUACAGUUAUAAUAGUUAUGGGCUGGGUGCCCAGAAAUACUCAGGAAUAACUGGGAGUGAUGGGGCACACACACACGCCUGCAGGCUUUUCUUUAUAAUUUUUCAUGAGAAGCUAGCUCAGCCCAUUCUCAAUCUGAAGCACUGAGUGGGCCCUAGAGUAUUAUGAUUUUCUGUUUGGCCUGAAACUUAUAAAAGAAAGAGGAAUAUACAUUAACUAUACAUGUAAGUUAUGACUUCAAAUAAAUAAUAUUUACUACCAACACUAAGAUAAUCAGUUUUCAAAUGUUUAAGUAUUUUAAUGUUCACAAACUUUGCAGUCUUUCAAUGGCAGAUGGUGGGAGAGUGGUAGAACAUAUUAUCCCUAGAUGUAUAUCCUGGCCCUGCAAAAUUAUUUUUUUAAUAUUAUUAUGUUAUGUUAGUCACCAUACAUUACAUCAUUAGUUUUUGAUGUAGUGUUCCAUGAUUCAUUGUUUGCAUAUAACACCCAGGGCUCCAUGCAGAACAUGCCCUCUUUAAUACCCAUUACCAGGCUAACCAAUCCCCCCACCCCCCUCCCCUCUAGAGCCCUCAGUUUGUUUCUCAGAGUCCGUAGUCUCUCAUGGUUCGUCUCCCCCUCCGAUUUCCCCCCUUUAUUCUUCCCUUCCUGCUAUCUUCUUCUUCUUUUUUUUUUUUUUUUUUAGCAUAUAAUGUAUUAUUUGUUUCAGAGGUACAGGUCUGUGAUUCAACAGUCUUACACAAUUCACAGCACUCACCAUAGCACAAACCCUCCCCAAUGUCUAUCACCCAGCCACCCCAUCCCUCCCACCCUCCCCACCACUCCAGCAACCCUCAGUUUGUUUCCUGAGAUUAAGAAUUCCUCAUAUCAGUGAGGUCAUAUGAUACAUGUCUUUCUCUGAUUGACUUAUUUCGCUCAGCAUAAUACCCUCCAGUUCUAUCCACGUUGUUGCAAAUGGCAAGAUUUCAUUCCUUUUGAUGGCUGCAUAAUAUUCCAUUGUAUAUAUAUACCACAUCUUCUUUAUCCAUUCAUCUGUCGAUGGACAUCUUGGCUCUUUCCAUAGUGUGGCUAUUGUGGACAUUGCUGCUGUAAACAUCAGAGUGCACGUACCCCUUUGGAUCCCUACAUUUGUAUCUUUGGGGUAAAUACCCAGUAGUGCAAUUGCUGGGUUGUAUGAUAGCUCUAUUUUCAACUUUUUGAGGAACCUCCAUACUGUUUUCCAGAGUGGCCGCUCCAUCUUGCAUUCCCACCAACAGUGUAGGAGGGUUCCCCUUUCUCCGCAUCCCCGCCAACAUCUGUCAUUUCCUGACUUGUUAAUUUUAGCCAUUCUGACUGGUGUGAGGUGAUAUCUCAUUGAGGUUUUGAUUUGGAUUUCCCUGAUGCCGAGUGGUGUUGAGCACUUUUUCAUGUGUCUCUUGGCCAUUUGGCUGUCUUCUUUGGAAAAAUGUCUGUUCAUGUCUUCUGCCCAUUUCUUGAUUGGAUCAUUUGUUCUUUGGGUGUUGAGUUUAAGAAGUUCUUUAUAGAUUUUGGGUACUAGCCUUUUAUCUGAUAUGUCAUUUGCAAAUAUCUUCUCCCAUUCUGUCGGUUGUCUUUUGGUUUUGUUGACUGUUUCUUUUGCUUUGCAAAAGCUUUUUAUCUUGAUGAAGUCCCAAUAGUUCCAUUUUGCCCUUGCUUCCCUUGUCUUUGGCGAUGUUUCUGGGAAGAAGUUGCUGCAGCUGAGGUCGAAGAGGCUGCUACCUAUGUUCUCCUUUAGGAUUUUGAUGGACUCCUGUCUCACAUUGAGGUCUUUCAACCAUUUGGAGUCUAUUUUUGUGUGUGGUGUAAGGAAAUGGUCCAGUUUCAUUCUUCUGCAUGUGGCUAUCCAAUUUUCCCAACACCAUUUGUUGAAGAGACUGUUUUUUUCCAUAAUUCCAUAAAGAAUGUCCAUUCUUUCCUGCUUUGUUGAAGAUUAGUUGACCAUGGAAUUGAGGGUUCAUUUCUGGGCUCUCUAUUCUGUUCCAUUUAUCUAUGUGUCCGUUUUUGUGCCAGUACCAUGCUGUCUUGAUGAUGACAGCUUUGUAAUAGAGCUUGAAGUCCGGAAUUGUGAUGCCGCCAGCUUUGCUUUUCUUUUUCAACAUUCCUCUUGCUAUUCAGGGUCUUUUUCUGGUUCCAUACAAAUUUUAGGAUUAUUUGUUCCAUUUCUUUGAAAAAAGUUGAUGGUAUUUUGAUAGGGAUUGCAUUGAAUGUGUAGAUUGCUAUAGGUAGCAUUGACAUCUUCACAAUAUUUGUUCUUCCAAUCCAUGAGCAUGGAACAUUUUUCCAUUUCUUUGUGUCUUCCUCAAUUUCUUUCAUGAGUAUUUUAUAGUUUUCUGAGUACAGAUACUUUGCCUCUUUGGUUAGAUUUAUUCGUAGGUAUCUUACAGUUUUGGGUGCAAUUGUAAAUGGGAUCGACUCCUUAAUUUCUCUUUCUUCUGUCUUCUUGUUGGUGUAUAGGAAUGCCACUGAUUUCUGUGCAUUGAUUUUCUAUCCUGCCACUUUACUGAAUUCCUGUAUGAGUUCUAGCAGUUUUGGGGUGGAGUCUUUGGGGCAAAAUUAUUUUUUAUAUAUUUUUGUUAUAUAUAUUACACAUACAUAUGUAUAUGUAUGGUUUUUGACUAGUCAUUUUGAUGUUGUAUACUUAAGUUCAAUCGUCUGUAUAAAAAAGCUAACUGAUGAGGUUGAUAAUGCAGGUUUUUAUAUGCUGAUUUUAGUAAAUGUGUAAUCAAUCAUCCACUUCAAAUAACAAAUAUAUAAAAUGUCUAUCUCCAGGGCUCAUACUGAUUAGUUAUUCACUUUAAGAAUUAACUACUUCAAACUGACAUGCAUUUGUUUUACUAUUGUGACUUCUCCAAAAAGAAGGAAAAAAAUCUUUUAAAAUGUCCAGGUAAAACUUAAUAGAUAAUGAAAUGGGAUUGUGUUAGAAGGGAUAUUGUACAGUUCUGAAAUGUUAACUCUAUAAAACAAGGGAAGAAAAUCAAGGUUGGUUUUUUAUAACCAAAGUAGUAUUAAAUUAUUUCUUCAGGUUUAGCAAAAGCAUGCAUAGAUCAAAACCCAAGAAGGUUACAGUUAUAUUCCGAUAAUGAAAAGAUCCACUCAAUAAAUAUGCCGGGUACUAAUCUAGGUUUUAGGUGGCUGGGAGGUGAGAGGCGGGGUGGGUAAAGACAGAAAUCCCUUAUAAAAAUUGUAUUUUUUUUUUAAGAUUUUAUUUAUUUGACAGAGACACAGCAAGAAAGGGAACAGAAGCAGGGGGUGUGGGAGAGGGAGAAGCAGGCUUCCCGCUGAGCAGGAAGCCUGAUGCGGGGCUCAAUCCCAGGACCCUGGGAUCAUGAACUGAGCCGAAGGCAGACACUUAAUGACUGAGCCACACAGGAGCCCCAGGAAGUAAUUCUUAAUAUGAAUUUGCAUCAGACCUUUCUUAUUUAAAUGUUAUCAAUAUUAAUUUAAGGCUGUGAAAUCUCUGUCAUGUGUGGUCUCUUUGAUUCUGAUGCUUGCCUGCAGGUUCUGUUAUGUGCUGCAGGCUAGAAAUAUGCUGGGACUAAUCUAGGUCCUAGGUAGCUGAGAGGUGAGGGGCGGGGUGGGUAAAGUCAGAAAUCCCUUAUAAAAAUUGUAUUUUAGUAAAGGAAGACAGAAAAAUGAAAUAGGUUUGUAGUGUGUUAAAGGUUGAUAAUGAUGUGAUGAAAACCCACGACAUGUGUACAAAGAGGGUGUGGGAGGUGUUUAGUUCUCAGUUAGGGCAUGCAGAGGUAGCUUCUCAAUCUCUCUCAGUAGCUUGAGGAGAUUUUUCUUUAAAAAAAUAAGUAAAUAAAUAAUACCUAAAAUUUAAAAAGGCAUGUAGUUCUCAAGGAGUUUGAUGUACUGUCCUAAUAAUCUUUAAUAUUUAAAAUUUUGUAUAACAGGAGAACUUUGAAUCCUAGUGAGAAUAAAGAGAAGGGGAGGAGGGCAUGGAAGUAUGGGUCAUUAAGGAAGGAAAGGCCAAAUUGGGAGUAAAAAGUAAGAUAGAGAAUAAAUAGACCCACUUUUACAUUUUUAUCACAUGAGACAUCAGUUUAAAGGAUCCAGGGGCUAUAAUAAUAAUAUAAAUAGUAGCUAAUAAUUUGAGAAUUUUCCCCCACACUAGACACAGUACUAAACCCCUGAAACACAUUGCUUUAGUUAAUCUUCCCAGGAACCCUCCAAUAUGGGCACCUGUGUUUUAACAAUGAGAAACUAAACUGCUAGGAAGUUCAGUAGCUUUCUUAGAGACACAGUUAGCAAUUGCCAGAAUUGGUAUUAGAAUGUAAUUGUUGGACCCCAAAGCACAUGGAUGUACCCACCGUAUUUUCCUGUUGUAGGCUGUUUCCCCUAUCCUAGUCUGUCUGCAAGACAUAGCUCAGAUGUUACUUACUUACUGCUUAUAAUUGUCAUUAUUUUUCAGGGACUUUGAAGUUUCCAAUUAUCUUUUCCAUUUAUAUAUGUUUCAUUGGAUUCCACUGAAGGCUGUAUUAGAGUAAGUUUGGGAAAAGGUGUUUCUUUAUAGCUGAAGUCAAAAUUAUUUUGAGUUCCAAAGCACAAUGUUUUUGUAAAAAAUGUUGAAUCUGCAUGGUCAAAACUCAUUUAGAUGACAAAGUAUGUGGUUAUAAGGUGAAUAAAAAUCUUAUUUUUUUCUUUUUCAA